CCAAAUGAGACACACCCCGUCCAAAUUCAUCACAGAUUCUGAGUCCCCAUGAAAUUUCUAGCGUUUUGGUGUACAUGUUGCUCAGUUCCGGCAAUAGUCGAUUUUUCAGCCAUCGUGUACAGUGGCCGACGUCGACAUUCUGGUGACCAGUCUGCAAGACUCCGGCGGGGCCAUAGGAGCCAGAAUUCUUAUCUCGAUUCGGGCAGUGGGAUGGAGUUAACGAAAUUUCUAUUGGUGAGCCCUAAGACUUUGAUACUAAAUUUUUCGAUAAUAAUAAGAGUUUGUUGAUCUAAUUUUAUUGUUUCAGUUUAGUUGAGCUAAAUGCAUAAUUAAAACAGAAAUUUAUUAAAAUGUUAACUUAACUGAGUCAGUUGAUCGAUUAACCUAAAUCGAAGGGAAGUUAGAUUAAAAUCCGAUAUCUAGUUAUCGUUUUGAUGGAUAUCCACUUAUUAUUUAUAUAGUUCAAAUGUUAUGUAAAUAAUGAAGGAUGAGUUUUGAUUAAAGUUAAUGCUCGAUGGAUGGGCUGUAUAUUGAAUUGUGCCUUCGUAUACGUGAUUUGAUAGCUAUCCCGAUUUACAAGGUAGAUGCAACUAGAUUUUCGGUAAAAUGUAUAAUAACGAAUUAAAAUAAUUAUAUCAUUAAGAGAAAUGACUAAUAAAAUUACCGGUACUCGUAUUACCAAUAUAAUAAUAAUAAUAAUAAUAUUAUUAUUAUUAUUACUGCUACUACUUACCAAAGGACUACAAAAUUUAUUAAAGUUUAUAUAUCAGAGUAAAUAAGUAAAUAAAGUAAUAGUAGAUAUACGAUUUGAUAAGUUAAGACUAACUAUUACAUUAGCCAAAAGAUAGUCCUAUUAAGGACGAUAAAGAACUGUGAGUAGAGUUAGAUAAUCUGUAUCACUUAUGCAUUAUACAAUCAUGCAUACAUGUAUAAUAUGAUAUCUACGUGAAACAUGCAUACAUGUAGAAGUGCCAUAUAAGCGUGUAUGCCAUAAGCCGCAUCAAACACAUAUAGUUUUAUAUUGGAAUAUAUAGAGAUGUUGGAUAUCAUACACUGUGUGAGUGAUAUGAAAUUUUGUGAUUGGAUAUGAGUUAUCUGUGAUGUGCCAUGGAAUUAGAAUAAUAUGGGUCACCUUGGGGUGAGAGCACGAGCAUGGUGAGAGUGCCGACAAUGGGUCGUAAGCGAGUGGAGUGGCGCCCCCCCAUGUGUACUCUGUAAUUUGAUGCUCAUCGAUGAUAAAAGAAAAAGAAAGAAAAGUAACAAAAAGGAAAAGAACAGGAAAGAAAAGAGAAAUAGAUGGAUGAGGUCCCUCCAGCCCGAACGGUGAUGGGCUCCUUCAGUGCACUUGACACAAGGAUCGUGAAUUAUUUUUUUGAAAAUUAUUUUAAAGCAUGCUUUGAGGGUGAGCAUGAUCCUUGUUUAUAAUGGGUGAUUCCACAGACUAAUGUCCACUGUUUGAUUACCUGAAUUAUUGUGACUUGUUAAGUAUGCGUUCAUACUUGCUUGUUCAUCCAUAGUUCGCGGGAGGGCUACUAAUUAUAUAACAUGAUUAUCAUAUGUAUGACUGUGUGGGGUGAGAGGGUUAUCUAACCCUAUUCAUUGAGUUUGGCACUCACCCCUGCCUCCUUAUUUUUCUAUGUAAUAGAAGGAAAGAAGAACCCUAUGAAUCAUACUGAGUUAAGAUGCAAAUAAAGAAAAAUAAUAAUAGUUGUAUUAUGUAUAUGCAAUAUAUAUAUAUAUAUAUAUAUAUAUAUAUAUAUAUAUAUAUAAUUUAUAGAGUUCCACAAUUGUAUCCGAAAUGGG
rnacentral:lncRNA from 1 species